UACAGAGGUCUCAAGCGUUGUUCGGAUUCAUUGGGCGUAAAGGGUGCGUAGGUGGCGAGGUAAGUCAGGUGUGAAAUUUCGGAGCUCAACUCCGAAACUGCAUUUGAUACUCCCUUGCUUGAGGACUGGAGAGGAGAUUGGAAUUCACGGUGUAGCAGUGAAAUGCGUAGAUAUCGUGAGGAAGACCAGUGGCGAAGGCGGAUCUCUGGACAGUUCCUGACACUGAGGCACGAAGGCCAGGGGAGCAAACGGG
rnacentral:rRNA from 1 species